rnacentral:lncRNA from 1 species
UUCGCUUUUAUUUAGGUUUGUGAAGAUAAGUUUAUGAGCUUGGUUUCAGCUUGAUUCAUCUUGAUCUUUUAUGCUUUGAUUAUGAAUUUAGAUUUGGGAGGAAGAAGAAUGAUACGAAGAAGGAGGAUGAAUGGGAGGAAAAAGAAUGAUAUGAGUUUGUAAACUAAUGUUUCACAACGGCAAUGAGAAUGAUAGGAAGUGAUUAAUUUCUAAAAAAAUUAUGUUUGUUUGACUAAGAUUAUAUAGUUUAUGAAAAUGAUGAAGAAAGAGCGGAG